rnacentral:rRNA from 1 species
UACGUAGGGUGCGAGCGUUAUUCGGAAUUACUGGGCGUAAAGCGUGCGCAGGCGGUUUGCUAAGUCCGAUGUGAAAUCCCCGGGCUUAACCUGGGAACUGCAUUGGUGACUGGCAGGCUAGAAUAUGGCAGAGGGGGGUAGAAUUCCACGUGUAGCAGUGAAAUGCGUAGAGAUGUGGAGGAAUACCGAUGGCGAAGGCAGCCCCCUGGGCCAAUACUGACGCUCAUGCACGAAAGCGUGGGGAGCAAACAGG